rnacentral:lncRNA from 1 species
CUGGUCUUGAACUCCUGAGCAAUCCGCUCACCUUGGCCUCCCAAAGUGCUGGGAUUACAGGCAUGAGCCACCACACCCGGCCAUGCUUAGUGUUUUAAUUUAUCAUCCAGUCUUCUCAGGUGCUUGACCUGCUUACUGUGAUUUGUCAACUGUUACUAAGUUAACAGAAUCUAAAAAUAGCAAACAGUUUCUCAGACAUUUUUAAAAACCAUUAAGAUGAUGCUUCAGUUUGCUAACCUCAGUCUUCACUUCAGAAAUUAGAAAACUAAAAAUAGCUGAAAUGAAGGUAGCAUCAGUAAAAACCAAGUUUGUUUGCACUUUGAGGAUAUAUAGAAGGAGCCAUGACCAAAUAACACAUGUAUUCUUCCACCCAGUGUCUGUCUUCACCAAGAAGGACGACUUUGAUUGGCUGUAAUUGGCCACUGUUGCUAAUGGAGUAGAGAGAGUCUUGCUACAUGCGGGAACUAGAAUUACAUCACUGCGUUUUUUGGCUUUGUUUCUUCAAUGGGUUGUAGUGUAUGAAUAUUAUUACAAAAUAAAAUGAUUUAAAAAUAUCCAUCUAAUGUUAAUCGUUUUGAAUUAUUUACUGAUUUGAUGAUUCAAAGCCAGUGUAUGUUUACAGAAAAUGGAGAUUUUGUCUCCCAUUGAAUUUGUGCUCAUACAUUCUGGGCUUAAUACUGAUUCUACCACUUGCCAGCUCUAUGACACUAGAGAAAUCAUUUAACUUUUCUGAGCCAUAGUAUCCAAUGUGUAAUAAUCACAUCACAGUAAAUGGAGUAUCUAUCACCUAAAGCAUUUAUCAUUUCUUUGUGUUUGAGACAGUAGAUUAAAAAUUUAGCUUGGGUAAUUCUGGGUGUGUUUAUUGGAUCAGGCCUUAAACUAGGAGGCAUUUUACAGAGACACAUUAGUUACUUUGAGAUGAAAGAGGGUUUAGGAGCCAGGAUCCUUGAAUUGUCAAACAGCCAGUUACUGUGGCUUCAGCCACUCCUCCUUGAUCCCUAUAACAGAUAAGUGUUUAGAGGACCAGGCUGGACAGACACUGGCCAUCAAUACAUCCAGAACCUUGACGUAGUGUCUGGGAUGAAUUGAGUGGAUGACCUCCCCACAUCUUCACUGAUAAUUAGUCACUCCCAUAAUUAGUGUUCCCAUAGCUCUUUGGAUUCAUCAUAUCCUGCCUUGUAUUAUAUUUGCUUGUAUACAAAUAUAUACCUUCCACUAAAAUAUACGUAUGUUGAGUAGGGAUCACAUUGUUUAUCUUUCUAACUUCCUGUGCUUAGCAUAGAACUUUUAAUGUAGUAAGAACUAGGUAAGUGUUUCAUUUAAUUGAAUUGGCACUCAGAGCCAGAAAACAUCAUAGCCAGUUAUCCUGGUGCUGUUUAUUAAAUAAGCCAGUCUUUCCCCACUGAUCUAAAGUGCUACUUUGAACAUGUAUGAAAUCUUAAAUGUAUGAACUUGAGUUAUUUUGUGGAUUCUGUUUCACCCCACGGCUCCACUUGUCUUUUCCUUGUCAGUACCAUUCUGCCCUGCUUACAACGUAGUCUCAUAGUUCUUUUUAAUAUCUCAUAAGCCAAGUCUUAUUUUGCCACAGUUGUUUUUCAAACUUUCUUGGCUAUUUUCUUUCUUUCUAUCUUUCUUUCUUUCUUUUUUUUUUUUGAGAUGGAGCCUCACUCUGUCGCCCAGGCUGGAGUGCAGUGGCGUGAUCUCGGCUCACUGCAAGCUCCACCUCCCGAGUUCACACCAUUCUCCUGCCUCAGCCUCCUGAGUGGCUGGGACUACAGGGGCCCACCACCACACCUGGCUAAUUUUUUGUA